CUGCUCAAUGAUUUUUUAAAUUGCUGUAGUAUUUUGACUAUACAAAGGUCUUGUAAUAAGGCUUUAAUUGAGCGCUAAGAGAAUGGAUUUUCAAGAAAAUUCUUUUUUAAAUUUAAAAAUUGAAGUUAUUUUUAUUUGUGAAGAAACAACAAUAAAAAUUAAAGACAAGAAGACCCUAUGAAUUUUUUUAAAACACAAUUAUAAUAUUAAUUGUGUUUUAAUUAAUUGGGGCGAUUAAAAAAAAUUAUAAACUUUUUAUAAAAAUAAGAUGAUCCACAAAUUGUGAUUUUAUGAAAUAAAUACUCUAGGGAUAACAGCGUAAUAAUUUUAGAUAGAUCAUAUAGAAAAAAUAGUUUGCGACCUCGAUGUUGGAUUAGGAUACUUUUUUAAUGAAGAAGUUAAAAAAAGAAGUUUGUUCAACUUUUAAUAUCCUACUUGAUCUGAGUUCAGACCGG
rnacentral:rRNA from 1 species